rnacentral:lncRNA from 1 species
GGGCACGGGGCGGCACUGCCUCACCCCAUACCCGGGGCACUGCUGCACCCCUGGGGGGUGACACAGCCCCCGGGCCACACCUUGCCACGCCGGCCCCCUGCACCAGCACGGCACCAGCCUGACAAUAAAGCACGUAACGGACGGAGCUGGCGUGGGGACCCUGCCUCUGCAUGGGGGGCUCGGUGGGGACAGGCGUGGGGCUGCCCUGAUUGCGGGGUGGGGUAAUGGCAGUGGGGUCGGGGCAGCUCGGGGAGGAGGCGCCGCGCACUACAACUCCCAGCAGGCUUUGCGCGCGGCUGCCGUGCCCCGCCCGGCUUCUCCGCCCGCGGGCAUCAUGGGAAAUGUGGUCCGGGCAGAGGGCAGCUGAGGCGCCAUCUUGUGCGAGGCUGGGGAGGGCGCGGGUGUGAAGCCUGCGGGCUGUAGGAACUGGGGGCUGGGCUCCUACACUGGGGGGCCCCGCACGUAGGGAGCUGCCUGGAGACCCCACAGCGGGACGGGAUGGCUGAAGGGUGCGGGGCUGGUCCCGGGUCUGAUGGUGGCUGGCUGCAGCGCUCCACUGGCACGUAGCCGACACGCUUCGGUGGCGUGCCAACGGCCCGCCAGGAGGCUAAUAAAUAAAGUAACCGAUAGCCUAAAUAAUUAACAAACUCACUCUUUUAUUAAUUUGUGCUUACACGAUCCUGCACGCUAUUAAACAGCAAAGCUACUAACAAUCAACUCAAUCCCACAGGACUGACCCCCCCACGCCUCUGGGAGGCAGACGCGAUGCGGGCUCCCGUGGGCCAUGCAAGUGGCCCCAUCCAAAUGCUUCGGGCACUGCCUCUACCCCAGUCACCUCGGCUCAACGGGGGAUGAGUGGUGUGUUCACCUCAUAAGGGACAGCUCUGCCUGCGCCCCUUCUCCUCCUGAGCUGUCCCUCUCCCCCCACUGUCCCUCUUCUCACCUGCAAGCCCUCUCAUCCUUGCCACCGGGCGCCUCGCAUCGCCGCUGCCGUCAUCCCCACGCAGGGCAGGGGAGGCUGGCCAGCAACGCUCUGUGCCCGCACAGCCCCUCGGCUCGCUUCCCCCAGCACACGCCACGCUGCAGCCACUCAUCCACACCGGCCUUUCGUUACUCCGUGGCUCAGAGCCCGUACUCAUGCCAGAGGCUGGGGGGAUAGAAGGAGGUCA